rnacentral:rRNA from 1 species
CCCGUUCCCAUACCGAACACGGAAGUUAAGCUCUCUAGCGCCGAUGGUAGUUGGGACCUUGUCCCUGUGAGAGUAGGACGUCGCCAAGCU